GCAUCCAUGGGUCGUGUCAUCAGAGCUCAACGUAAGGGUGCGGGUUCCGUCUUCAAAUCCCACACUCACCACCGCAAAGGUCCGGCUAAGUUCCGUAGCCUCGAUUUCGGCGAGAGAAAUGGUUACCUCAAGGGCGUCGUGACGGAGAUCAUCCACGAUCCUGGUCGUGGUGCUCCUCUUGCUCGUGUCACUUUCCGUCAUCCUUUCCGUUUCAAGAAACAAAAGGAGCUCUUCGUCGCCGCCGAAGGUAUGUACACCGGUCAGU
rnacentral:lncRNA from 1 species